GUGCUCGCUUCGGCAGCACAUAUACUAAAAAAUUGGAACGAUACAGAGAAGAUUAGCAUGGCCCCUGCGCAAGGAUGACAUGCAGAUUCGUGAAGCGUUCCAUAUUAAA
ensembl:snRNA U6 U6 spliceosomal RNA